CUGCAGAAGCUCUGCUUUGUGUGCUGUAUGCCUGCAGAGUAUCCUUAUGGCAACAACUGUAUAGGCAGAGCUGCUUUGAAAGGACUGAAAACUGUUCUCUGUUAAUAAUCAAGGAUAUCAAAGAGGGCUGUAUCAAGUUUCUGUGUUUUGAGAAGACUGCAAAUCAUUUUAAGGAGUCGAAAUGCUGAAGACUUUGUUAGAACAGUGGAAUAUAGGAGAACAUACUGAUGCAUUGUCUUGAUAUGCAUUUUCCAAAGUGCAGGAGUGUGCUCCAGCAAAACCAAUUGUGACAUCUUGAAGUAGCACUACUUUUAUGUAACAACUGCCU